ACAUCACAAAGGCUGUCUAUGAUGUUAUCCAGUCACAUGAUCAGCCUACUGAGGUGGAAUAUUUCAACUUGCCGGCAUUUUGUCACUGCUAUUUAAAAUGCUACUGGAAGCCACACUGCGGGCCUCCAGCAAGUGUGACCUUGCGAUGCCAGUUCACACGUGUGCAGAAGGAACUCGUACAUGCCAGUGAAGUGACGCUGAAUUGGAAUUUAUUUCCAUUUGCUUGGUUUCAUUUAGGUCUUUCACCACGUCAAGUGUUUGCACGGUGACAACUGAGAAAAAACUAUUACAAAGGUCCCUAGGACAUGAUGCAGGAAAGCCGAGGGAACAGUGCUACCACACGAAAAAUAUACACAGCAAAUUAGACUGGGAUGGCAACUUUAAUAAAAAUCAUGGCUGGGUUGCGCAGUGAAACCACUGUGCCCUCAGGAGGAAUCCACUCUGAUUGAUUAAACCUCCCAAAAGAA